UGGCCAAAAUUGCGCCUUGCUGCCUGUGCAGGUUCCCACAUUGCUGCCUCUAUCUCGGGCAGGAAGGUCCGCGGAGGUCAACCCGGGCAAGGGGCCAUGCCAGAAGCAGAGGGGCAGUAGGGCCGAGGGCAUCCUGCACCUGAGCACAGAGGGCCUGGGCCAGGGCCGUGGGGUCAUGGAGAGCUUCAUGGAGUCCCUGAACAGGCUGAAGGACAUCCAUGAGAAGGAGGUCCUGGGCCUGCAGAACAAGCUUCUAGAACUGAACUCGGAGCGUUGCCGGGAUGCCCAAAGGGUAGAGGAGCUAUGUGCCAAGAACCACCAGCUCAGGGAGCAGCAGAAGGCUCUGAAAGACAACGUACGGGUGCUGGAGAACAGGCUGCGGGCCGGCCUGUGCGACCGCUGCACCGUCACCCAGGAGCUGGCCAGGAAGAAGCAGCAGGAGUUCGAGAGCUCCCUCCUCCAGAACCUGCAGCACCUCUUCGUCCUCACCAAUGAGGUGACCCGGCUGCAGGAGGAAAAUGAGAGCUUGAAGGAAGAGCUGGCCCAGCUUCGGCGCCUGGGACCCAGGCCCCAGUGCAAGGAGGGCUCCUUGGACCCCUCCUCACCGCCACUGCUCGUCUCCCCGGGCCCCUGGAAGGCCGGCACUGAGAAGCUGCCCGGAGGCCACGCGGAGGCUGAGGACCACCCCCCAGAAGCGGGUCCACGGGGAGAAGACAAGCUGGGGCACAGGAUGUCUCCAGGGACCAACAUCUCCCCGGGCGCCAACCUGCCCGAGCCACGGGCCUCAGACAUGAGCCCCCAGCAUAUCUCCAACCAGCUGCACGGGACCAUUGCCGUGGUGCGGCCAGGGGCCUGGGCCUGCUCCGCUGACCGGGGCUCCGCCAAUGGGACGCCCUCUGCCCAGAGCAGCCCGCCCAGCCUGCCUUACGAGCACAGCCUCUCUCUGGACAGCUUCCUGCGGGCCUCUCUGGCCUCCACCAGGCGCUACGAGUCCCUGAAGCAUGCCCUCCAAGCUGACCGCCUCUGCCUCCUGAACCGCCCUCUGUCCCUGCACCUUCGGAGCCCCCACAGCAGCCCCCGGGCCCCCGCCGUGGCCCCUGACGGUCCCCAGCCCCAGCCCCUGAAGGCCGGAGAGGCAGAGGCCUGGGAGGCGCCCGCGGGCCUGCUGGGCCUGCCGGGCUCCCUGGUGGACAUGCAGGAUCCUCGGCUAGAGGGAGCCCUGAGCCUGCUUCUGGCCCAGCAGCUGCGGGCACGGGGACAGGCUGGUGGUGCCAGGAUGAGGGGGCCCCCCAGGCCAGGGGAGACACUGCCCUCCCCUCCGAUCGGUUCCGACUCUGAUGGCUCAGAGGGCGAGGUGACGAGGGCAGCCCUGCCCAGGGGACAGCACCAGCGGCCCACAGGCCCAGGCAGCCCCAGGGGAAAGGAGGCCACAGACACAGAGGUCCCUGUUCCAGACAAGCCCCUGGACCUCUCCGAGUGGGGGCGGGGCCAGGACACCCCCAAGCCUGUGGGCCGGCCAGGGAGGUUCAGCCCCAAGGCUGCCCACACUCCCAGCCCUGAGCCGCCCCAGGGAGCCAAGCCACUUGCCCAGUCUGGACCUUGGGGGCGAAGCAAUGGCACCACGGGGGCCAGAGCACCAGGGCCAGAAGAGGCCGCCAUGCCCGAGGACUCCCCACAUCCACUCCCGGAGCCCCAGCCCAGCCUACCGUCUCCAGGCAGGACAGGCGAUGGGACCAGAGAGAGGCCAAAGCCGUCCCCCCUCCCACAGAGGCCUGACGCCAGUAGCCACCCAGGUAAAGUUUCCUCGUCUGCAGAGUUGUUGCCAUUCAUCCUGGUCUGGCAGGCUAGGACGCGCCCUGCUCUCACCAGACGGCCAGGCCACCAGCCUGGCCUGACCCCCGCCCUGCACCCUGCAGAGCUCAGCAAGGCCCAGGCACAGCGGCCGCUGUCGGACAAGCUGGAUGAGCCAGACGCCUCGGACAGUGAGCCGCCAAGAAGCUGUCCUGAGGAAGACAGAACCCCCAAGGGCGCCCCUGACAGCAGCUGCAGGGCCCAGGAGGCCAAGACCCCAAGGACGACGGCCCGCACCCAGCAACAGCAGCGGGAGGGACCCUAUGGCGCUCUGCCCACCGAGGCCAGGACAGCCCACAACACCAGCCCAGCCCAGCUCAGGGGGAAGGAGAUUGAGUCCUGGCUGUGGCCAGGGGGCUGGGAAGGCCGAGAGGGGUCUAUAGCUGAUGUUUGGAACCCUUCUCCAUCCAUCUUGAUGACUGGCUGCACCUCCCAUCCCACCUUCUCCCCAGCACCUUCUCCCUUGAGGGGAACAGGAGUUCAGAAGCACAGGAGGCAGGGAUCCUCAGGCCCUAGCCCAGCCCCACCCCUGCAGCACACAGACAGUCCUUACCGGGCAGCACCCACCACCUCUCUGUUACCCCCCACCCCAUCCCACCCCGCCCCUCUCCUGACUCCACUGGCAUCCCUUACUCCAAGGGCCCUGCACUCCUGGCCACCUUUCCCUGAGGGCCAGCAGAGCUGCACACAUCGGUCUCCGGCGCCCCCUCGUGGAAUCCUGCAUACAGACGCUGGGCAUUGAGGGCCCAGUCAGUCCAAGGGCUCAGGGAGACUGAAAGGCUGAGAGGCGCCUUCGCAGAUAGGGUCCUCAGGGUGCUGGGAGAACACAGGUGCAAAGAAAGAUGGCCUAUGUGGCUAGCAGGGUCAGGGCAGCCUGGCCAACACCUGCCUGGGCAAGUGACUCAAGAGGCUCUUGAAUGCAUUCAGGGCCAAAGACAUCACUCCCUUACGGGAGGGCAGGAUGAAAACCAGCAAACAUUAAGGGACAGGGCACUCUGGGCAUGGCCAGGGAACAGAGAGAGGCUGUGCACAGCCCUCCUCACUGACCCCUGAGCCCCUGGCCCCACCCCUGCCGCUGACUGCUCAGCCCUCUGCAUGGCCACAGCCCAGUGUUCCACCUCAGCAUUCAGGCUACUCUGCCCCGGCCAGCCAUCGUCUCUUCAAGAGGGUGUGUGUGUCUCAGAGGCCUCGGGGAAAGGAGCUUAAACAGGUUCUUGGGUUCAUCCAGGCCCACUGGGUCAGGAUUUAAGAAGCUCCAGGGGGCUUCUGGCUGGUUUGGCUCAGUGGAUAGAGCAUUGGCCUGCAGACUGAAGGGUUCUAGGUCCAAUUCCGGCCAGGGUACAUGCCUGGGUUGCAGGCUCGGUCCUCAGUGUGGGGCGUAUUAGGAAGGGGCUGAUCGAUGAUUCU